CCUACGGGAGGCAGCAGUGAGGAAUAUUGGACAAUGGGCGCAAGCCUGAUCCAGCCAUGCCGCGUGCAGGAAGAAGCAUCUAUGGUGUGUAAACUGCUUUUGUACGGGAAGAAACACUCCUUCGUGAAGGAGCUUGACGGUACCGUAAGAAUAAGGAUCGGCUAACUCCGUGCCAGCAGCC
rnacentral:rRNA from 1 species